rnacentral:rRNA from 1 species
CGGCGAGUGAAGCGGCAAAAGCUCAAAUUUGAAAUCUAGUACCUUCGGUGCUCGAGUUGUAAUUUGAAGAUGGUAACCUUGGGUUUGGCUCUUGUCUAUGUUCCUUGGAACAGGACGUCAUAGAGGGUGAGAAUCCCGUCUGAUGAGAUGCCCAUUCCUAUGUAAGGUGCUAUCGAAGAGUCGAGUUGUUUGGGAAUGCAGCUCUAAGUGGGUGGUAAAUUCCAUCUAAAGCUAAAUAUUGGCGAGAGACCGAUAGCGAACAAGUACAGUGAUGGAAAGAUGAAAAGAACUUUGAAAAGAGAGUGAAAAAGUACGUGAAAUUGUUGAAAGGGAAGGGCAUUAGAUCAGACUUGGUGUUUUACGAUUAUCUUCUCUUCUUGAGUUGUGCACUCGUAUUUCACUGGGCCAGCAUCGAUUCGGAUGGUAAGAUAAUGACAGUUGAACGUGGCUUCACUUGUGGAGUGUUAUAGCUUCUGUUGAUAUUGCCUGUCUGGAUCGAGGGCUGCGUCUUUUGACUAGGAUGCUGGCGUAAUGAUCUAAUGCCGCCC